GCAACCAUGGUGUAGUGGUUAGCAUUAACGCCUUCCAAGAACCAUCAAGUUCAGCGUUAGAGUCGGGUUCGAUUCCCGAUGGUUGCA
rnacentral:tRNA from 1 species